rnacentral:rRNA from 1 species
UACGUAGGGGGCGAGCGUUGUCCGGAAUUAUUGGGCGUAAAGAGCGUGUAGGCUGUUCGGUAAGUCUGCCGUGAAAACCUGAGGCUCAACCUCGGGCGUGCGGUGGAUACUGCCGGGCUAGAGGACGGUAGAGGCGAGUGGAAUUCCCGGUGUAGCGGUGAAAUGCGCAGAUAUCGGGAGGAACACCAGUGGCGAAGGCGGGUCUCUGGACAGUUCCUGACGCUGAGGCACGAAGGUCAGGGGAGCAAACGGG